GGAUGUGAGGGCGAUCUGGCUGCGACAUCUGUCACCCCAUUGAUCGCCAGGGUUGAUUCGGCUGAUCUGGCUGGCUAGGCGGGUGUUCCCUUCCUCCCUCCCCGCUCCAUGUGCUGCGUCCCUCCGGAAGCUGCGCGCUCGGUCGAAGAGGACAACCAUCCCGAUAGAGGAGGACCGUUCUUAGGUCAAGGGUAUACGAGUAGCUGCGCUCCCCUGCUAGAACCUCCAAACAAGCUCUCAUAAAGCAGGCCUUCGGAAGGAAGGUGCCCAGUAGAACCUACAUUCAUAAAAGUGCAAAGGAGCACCAGAAUAU
rnacentral:snRNA from 1 species